ACAGACACAAUGAUCUCCAGGAUCUACCACCGCAUCUGUCAUUGACAUCUUUGUCCAGAGGGUCAGGCGCAUGGAGUUUGUCUACAGAUAAAGUCACGGGUGGCCGACUGCAGCACGCGAGUGGUGAGACGGGACAGCUGACGAAUCCCUGCGUGUUCCAGCCGCGCCACUAGACCUCAUCUUAUGGGCUGACGUGCAACAAAUAAAUACAUUAACAGGA